rnacentral:rRNA from 1 species
UACGUAGGGUGCAAGCGUUGUCCGGAAUUAUUGGGCGUAAAGAGCUCGUAGGCGGUUUGUCGCGUCUGCUGUGAAAACCCGAGGCUCAACCUCGGGCCUGCAGUGGGUACGGGCAGACUAGAGUGCGGUAGGGGAGAUUGGAAUUCCUGGUGUAGCGGUGGAAUGCGCAGAUAUCAAGGAGGAACACCGCGUGAGCGGAUGC